rnacentral:lncRNA from 1 species
GUUGAACAGCUGCUCUGCAAGCUCCCACCCUGUGGAGUGUACUUUGAUCUUCAAUAAAUCUUUGCUUUCAUUGCUUCAUUCUUUCAUUGCUUUGCUGUGCAUUCUGUCCAAUUCUUUGUUCAAAAUGCCAAGAACCUGGACAAUUUGCAGUCAAGACCCUCCACCGGGAUAUGAACUUCCAAUUAUAUCAUUGGACUUGACUACUCCAUUUCUUUCCACAUUUAAAAAUCAAUCAGGGAGAAGCUAUUUUGAGAACUUAACACAGUAUUUAACAUGGGAUUUCUGAAUGAAGACAGUUUAUGGAUGAAUAAGGCACUCUCUCACCAAGUGAGUGGUUGGAGCAAGACAGUGUCUCGAGAUUGAAACAGAACACGAUGGAGCUGGAAGUUAUAGUUCUGAGAUCAUCAGGAAUCAGAGUCAAAUCAUUAACUAGUGAUUAUAUGCCACACAAGAAAUCCUCUCUGGGUUAGAAAUCUUAAAAUAAGAGGCUGUUAUAUACAUUUGUCGAGAUAAAAUUAUUGAUUAGUAUUUAUAAGACUUUGAUUUCAUAAACUUAAUAGACUACAUAUGCAACUUAGGAUAUAAUUCCAAAAAUCUAGCCACAGCACAUUUGUGUGUUUCAACAAAGUAAUGGCUUUUUUGUUAUUAGAAUAAAUAAAGUUACCUUGUGAGAAAUUGAUUGAUCUAACUACUUGUGAACAGGGGAAAGAAACGUUGUUAAUUAGAGGCCAUCUGUUGCAAAUGUGAUCUGGCCAGAAUUUUGUUUAACAUGUGGAACGCUUAUAAAUUAUCUGAGUUUGCACAUUUACCUUUAUUGCGGAGUCUCCCAGCCUACUCAUUAGAUCACCCGAAUGAGGUACACAGCAAACUCAUGUAACUAUCUAAAAUAAAAUUCCCCACAUUUAGGUGUUUGGAAUUAGCUAUGAAAUAAUAAAGUGUCUCUCAAUAAGAUAAAAUAUUUUUAUAACACUUUCUUAAAAACAUGGCCGGCUUUAAAGGAAGGGAGAGUUCAGUUUUUAAAUUAAAGUAGGUGUUAAAUUGACCUAAGGUACCUUGCAGACAUUUAGCCCAGCUUCCUCCCUGGCAGAGGAAGAAUUACCACCUAGAGAAAAGCACUAAACUGGCAAAAACAGAGCCCAGUCUUCGAACUUGCAGGCCAAUUUCCUUUGCAUAUACCAUGCUACCUAAUGAUCGAGAUACUCUAGAGUAAUUCUGAAUCCUGACCUCUAGAGUUGAGAGCAAUCAGUGGACAAGUAAGACAUGGCACUAUGGUGCAAAGAACCCCCACUUCAUCACAUACAAAAUUCAUCACAUUGGGCAACACACAAUAAUGGGACUUGAAGUAAGCUAACAAUACGUUAUCUUCUUCAGAGAGAGUUAAAAUUUAAUUUGAAUUAAGUAGAAAAUUAGAGACAGUGCAAAAGCAUUCAAAAUUAGCAUUUGCUUAUCUUAAACAACUCUUAAAAUUAAGUAAUUUUGUUAGUUCAGCUAUUUUAAAAUAUCAAUAAUCCAGCUAAAAGUUUUACUAGCUGUUAGCAGACAAAAACUAAGGGAGCUUUAAAAAAACACUGUCUGCUUUUAUAAUUAUUAUCCAUUACUGAAAUCUUCUAGAGGAGAGAUGAGGGCUGGAGAGUAGGCUGCGUUUAGGAAAUAUUACAGAGGCAGAAAUGAGGAUUUCAGGGCAGCUACAUGCAGCACCUGAAGAUCCCCUGAGGCAGCCUGUCUAAGUUGACUGCUAUUUAGAGUGCAGCCCAGAGAGUUUCAGAUUUCAGGUUGCUACCCAUCCAUGGGAUAGGAAACCAAUUCAACGGGUCACAACCAGUAUUUUAAAAUGAAAAAGACUAGAAAAUAGGAAAAAUAAAUCACAAAUACUAAGGGACAAGGUGUUUUGAGAAACAUUUGGUUCAGUUGUACAUACGUACAUGUAAUGUUUAUAUGUGUUUCUUACAGUGAGAAACCAUCAGCAAAGUUUGAAAAACAUGUAUAGACAUUAACUUAAGUAGAAAUGAAGGGUGGAAAGAUAAGGAGUCUAAUUAAAUUGAAAUUUCUCUUUGAGAUGCCAGGGAGACAUUCAAGUGGAUUUAUUUUCCCUUUUAUACUGGAUGCCAAGUGCAGAAAAUGGAGUUAAUUCUCUUCCUUGGUUCAUAGCACAUAAUCAUUACUGUCCUUGGGAGAAUUUUUAAGUUAUGUUUCAUUUCUAAUUGGCAAAUAAUAAUUGAAUAAUUUUAUGAGACAAUAUGUGAUGUUUUGAUGUAUUGUUGUGGAUACAUUGUCAAUAUGCUGUGCAAUGAAACACCAGAAUUUAUUCCUUCUAACUGAAACUUUAUACCAAUUGACCAUUUCCCCCUUCCCCAUCCACUUACCUACCCCACAACCUCUGGUAACCACAAUUCUAUUUUCUAUUUCCAAGAGUUUGACUUUUUUAGACUCCA